rnacentral:rRNA from 1 species
UACGUAGGGUCCGAGCGUUGUCCGGAAUUAUUGGGCGUAAAGAGCUCGUAGGCGGUUUGUCGCGUCUGCCGUGAAAUCCCGAGGCUCAACCUCGGGCCUGCAGUGGGUACGGGCAGACUGGAGUGCGGUAGGGGAGAAUGGAAUUCCUGGUGUAGCGGUGGAAUGCGCAGAUAUCAGGAGGAACACCGAUGGCGAAGGCAGUUCUCUGGGCCGGUACUGACGCUGAGACGCGAAAGCGUGGGGAGCGAACAGG